rnacentral:misc_RNA from 1 species
GUCACUGGCACCUUGUGCGUUGGAUGCAUAUCCAGAAGCAUAUGAGGAAUUUAAGCAUAUUCUUCUUGCCUUGGUUUAUGACGAAGAAGAUAAGAAUUCUCCUGUGGUGAGUGAGUGGUCUCCAAGGAGGAGGAUUGACAUUGCUGGACUGCUGUCAUCUGUUUUAAGGGCUCAUUUAUGUGCGUAUGAUCCUCUUUUUGCAAUGUCAUUGAGGUACUUGAUAAGCAUACACAAAUUAUUUUGCUUUCGUCAGGGAGUUCCAUCGCCUAUAUCAGAUCUUACACAGAGAUUACUUCUUGAGGACCGUGACCCCCCUGCAACACCACUUGAGAGUUCCUAUGAAGCACCUCCAUUUGAUGAGGUGGACAUACAAGCUCUUGCUCAUGCGGUAGAGCUUACAAGGCAGGGGGCUAUUGAUAGCUUGAGAUUCGCCAAGGGUGACUUAUAUCAAGCAUUUCAGAAUGAGCUGUGCCGGAUAAGAUUGGAUGACCCCAUGUUUGAUGAGCUUGUUCAUGAGUAUUGUGUCUAUAGGGGUUUUGUCAACUUCAGUGUGGUUGAUUCUCCUGGGAUGCAACUUAGUAUCAAUGACGAUCAAUCAGAGUCUGGACAAUUAUCAAAGAACUGUUCCACAGAAGUUGGGGACGGAAACACUAAAUUUUCUGUCAGUGACACGUCUGCUUCUCAAGUUAUCAUGGAGGGAUCACCUGAAAGUACCAACUUGGCUAGCAUUCAAAGUACUGAUACUGAAGAACGCUACCCUAGUGAAACAAGUUAUGGAGAUUGCAGUACCAGUGGGACCCCUCAGUUUGAAAAAGUUCUGCAGAAAAAUAAGUGUCUUAGAGUUGGUGAAACAAACAAGCGGAAAAGAUGGAGGGGGAGACAUGAAAACACAGAAUUUGUGUCUGGACCUACCAGUGAAAGGAGCAGAGAAGAUCUUAAUGCCGACACAACAAUGUUGAAAGAUCAGCAGGUUUCUCCAAAAUCAUGCUUCCUGAAUAUGAUGAAGAAUAGAGAGGACAAGCACGAGCUUGUGCUGGGCUUGAAGGAAUUAGCUAGCAGAGGAAUGACAGAGGAGGUUGUUG